AUCUGUUCUCAUCAUUGUGUCAUGUUAUGUAAAUGCACGCACACACACACUUGCGCACACACAUGCACAAGCACUCACACAAGAGUGGAUGCAAGCACACGCACAUGCAUGCACACAAGCACGCGCACACUCACGCAAAUGCGCACAUACACACAUAAAAACACAGGUUUGCACACACAAACACACAGAGCUCCAGUACAGGUUGUCUGCAUCGCUGAAGGCUGCCAGUACACGGAUGUGUUUUUCCUGUCGUCUGCCUCCCUGCCUGUUACUCAGCCGCUGGCCCGGUGUCUAACACCUGCUCGGUUAGCUUCGCCCUCCGCGGCCCCCGGCCCCUCCAGUCCAUCAGGGCCCGGCAGGGCUCCCAGCAUGCCACAGACAGAUGGGCUCUUAUUGCAGUCCACCCUGCAAUGAUUCGCACAGACAGGUCACAAAGUGUGAAGGCAAACAGGAAGUGGAAAUUGGUACCUUUCUUUUCAAUACUUGCUAUCUGGUGAGCUGUCUAGUUCACACUGAAGUUGUUUUCUUGUAUUUGAAUCAUGGGCCCACACUGGUUCUGGUGAAUUUAUUCAUUUAUUUUUUCUGCCAUUCUCUUCUGAAAGGGAAAAUUUCCUCUCUUACCCCAGUCCACAUGUACGUGCACGCACGCACACACACACAGCUCUGCACUGUUUGAACACCAGUGGCAGAAAUCAACAGGUCUCCAUCCAUGCAAUAUUCAUAAAGAAGCACAAUGUGAAAUGUCAGUUGGCUAACUUACUGUGUUAUGGCUUAUUUACUGGAGAAAUUCAAAUGGUCAAUAAUGAAUGAAGGUUGAGACCCUAGGAGGAACACACACACACAAGGCAUUCCACCCCACAUUGAUAACUUUAGAUGAGAGUAUUACAGUUGCCCUGAUUUAUGAAAUUUUAAGCUUAUGGUUUUUGAGCAUUGCACUACAUGCGGUUGAGGACAUCGCUGCAUAUUUCCUGGAUAAACAGACCAGACUCCUAACCAUUACCAAAAUGUUUUCCUCAAACGGAAGACGUAAGUAAACCGAUCCUAGAGUGAGGACUAUCACAGCUGAUUUUUGGACCUGGCCGUUCAGCACUGUGAUGAUCCCGGCUGCACUAUACCAGGAAGUGCUUCUGCUGCCCCACAUAACCACUUUUCAGGAGUAUUUUUCAAUAAAUUUUAAUGUUUCAUAUUAGACUGUGGCAGAGGGACUGACAACAAAGAACGGUGACCUUCAGUUUCAGCUAAAUUAUUGAGUUUGUCAUUUAAAAUGACAUUUAAUGACAUUUUUAAUAGACCAUUAUUGCUUUGACACUGUUAAAUUUUGACUGUGCAGGUCCAGGUAGGGAAAUUAUUUGAGAAGGCUGUGACUAGGUGGGGAAGUGGCCUUCAUGUCAGAACCAAUAGGUAGGACCACCAGUUUGUCUCCCCUUGUUUUCUCGCAUGGUACUUUGGUUCUGCCAACUAGAGGUUGCAAUUGCUUUUUUUUUCAAGCUCCUUCUCAAACAAUUAUGCCACUAACACCACCUCAAUAAUCUGAGUUGAUAAAGUAAUUGGCACUAAUUAAGUACAGAUGAUGAUUGACAGCGAUGUUUACAAGUGACACUCACAUGUUAAAUUCAGUUUGAUUGCUUACUACCGUGGACAUGCUGCACUAUUUUAAUGUUCUAAAGGGGCAUGCUAGGUUUUGUAAGAAGCAGUGGGAAAUGCCCACAUUAAAAAAUGAGAGCAGUUAAAUAGCAUUUAACGUGCACAAGACAGUUAAAUAAAUAAAAAAUGAAUUCUUGAUUCAACUAAUUAACUAAUCAUAGUGCUCAAUCAAGACUUUAAGCAGAAUCAGGUGUCCUAGUGCUUGGCUAAAAUGAAGACCUGCCCAGACAAUGGCCGUUUUCAGAUAAUAUAGGGCGUGAGUCUGUUGGUUUUUGUUUUUUCCUUAAGAUCAGCAAGCGAUUCAGUCCCAAGAAACCAGGUGACCUGAAUUAACUGUGUAAUGAACUGAUUUAACGGAUGAGUUGCGGUGCUACUCAAGUGCUGAGUAAAAACAAAAUCCAGCAGACCCUGCGGCACUCCAGGACCAGCCCAUAAGCCAAGCUUACACAGACAUGACUCCAAGGAAGAUGCUUCACGUGUGGACAGCAGGCAAUUGUCGACCAGCGGGGGUCACUAGAGAGCAAUGAGGAUCCCAGCCAACUAAAUCCUGCCUGACCUUGGGUGGCUCCAGCUUCUGUAUUCAAAGAGAAAGCAUCAUAUAAUAACAUCAUUUGACAAUAAUGUAAUUUACUUGGGUAAUAUUGUAUAACCAUAACUCCUAUAUUUAUUAGUUCAUUAUUUAGUGAAAAUGUCCUAUUAGACAGAGGAUAUGUAAUUGACACGCUUCCCCACAUGUUGUCCUACCACCCCUGUCUGUUCUUACCUGUUCAUUUAACACCCCACAGGGACCAUUUAUAAGGGCAUCUGAUCAAAUGUACAUCAUACUGUAUCUCACAGCAUUAUCACCCUCCUGGGACCUUUUCCUAUAUUGUGAUGGAUGUGUUUGUGUGUGUGUGUGUGUGUGUGUGUGUGUGUGUGUGUGUGUUUGUGAGACCUGUGGAGAAAUGCGGGCCUGUGAUCGAUGGCUGGAAGUUUUUCGGUCAAGAAAUUGGAUCAGGCGGAAAGCUCGGAGGUCUUCCUUAAAAGCUGUGCCCUGGCCUGAUGGAGACAGUGGGCUCAGCUCGAGUCAGGCCCCACACCACAGGGUACCUUACUCACGUGGAUGAUUAUGAAAAUAUAUUGGAAUAAAAUGCAUUAUCAAGAUCUUGCAACGCUUCAUAAUAUAUUGUAUAUUAUAUAAUGUAUUCCCUGUGUGUAAGGGCCUGUUUGUUCUCUAACCCUCAUGCUUGAACAGCACUGCUUGACUAGGUCCUGUAUGCUGGGUGGCACAAUGUACAUUAAAUCUGAUAGCAAUUAUGGUAUUGGAUCCCAGGGGUCUACCCUUGAUGCAGUACUACACAAUCUCUUGUUUGUUGGUGAGUUGCCAGCUGUAUUUACUGUCUAGCUUGUAGCUAAAUGGUGUGGGCUGAAUAGCCUGUUCUCAUUAUUUGUUCCUAUUUUCUCAUUGAUUAAAAAGCCUGGCACCACUAAAAAGGAGUAUGAAGGAAACACAGCCUGUUUUUUUGGCAGCAAACUUGUGGCAUGGGUAAA